rnacentral:rRNA from 1 species
AAACUUAAAGGAAUUGACGGGGACCCGCACAAGCAGCGGAGCGUGUGGUUUAAUUCGUUGCUACACGAAGAACCUUACCUGGGUUUGACAUAUAGGUUGUAGGGAACUGAAAGGGACCGACCCUUCGGGGAGCCUAUACAGGUGGUGCAUGGCUGUCGUCAGCUCGUGUCGUGAGAUGUUGGGUUAAGUCCCGCAACGAGCGCAACCCUUACCCUUAGUUGUUUUCCCGAAAGGAUUACCCUCUAAGGGGACUGCCCCGGACAACGGGGAGGAAGGUGGGGAUGACGUCAAGUCCGCAUGCUCCUUACGUCUAGGGCUACACACGUCCUACAAUGGGGUCGACAGUGGGAUGCAAAGCCGCGAGGUGGAGCCAAUCCCCAAACGGCCUCUCAGUUCGGAUAGUAGUCUGCAACUCGACUACUUGAAGUCGGAAUCGCUAGUAAUGGCGGAUCAGCAUGCCGCCGUGAAUACGUUCCCGGGUCUU